rnacentral:rRNA from 1 species
UACGAAGGGUGCAAGCGUUAAUCGGAAUUACUGGGCGUAAAGGGUGCGUAGGCGGUUCCAUAAGUCAGUGGUGAAAUACGGCAGCUCAACUGUCGAGGUGCCAUUGAUACUGCGGAACUUGAGUACUGAUGAGGUAGGCGGAAUUGACGGUGUAGCGGUGAAAUGCUUAGAUAUCGUCAAGAACACCGAUAGCGAAGGCAGCUUACCAAGGAGUAACUGACGCUGAGGCACGAAAGUGCGGGGAUCAAACAGG